rnacentral:rRNA from 1 species
UACGAAGGGGGCUAGCGUUGCUCGGAAUCACUGGGCGUAAAGGGUGCGUAGGCGGGGCUUUAAGUCAGGGGUGAAAUCCUGGAGCUCAACUCCAGAACUGCCUUUGAUACUGAGGAUCUUGAGUUCGGGAGAGGUGAGUGGAACUGCGAGUGUAGAGGUGAAAUUCGUAGAUAUUCGCAAGAACACCAGUGGCGAAGGCGGCUCACUGGCCCGGUACUGACGCUGAGGCGCGAAAGCUAGGGGAGCGAACGGG